UGGGGAAUAUUGCACAAUGGGCGCAAGCCUGAUGCAGCCAUGCCGCGUGUAUGAAGAAGGCCUUCGGGUUGUAAAGUACUUUCAGCGGGGAGGAAGGGAGUAAAGUUAAUACCUUUGCUCAUUGACGUUACCCGCAGAAGAAGCACCGGCUAACUCCGUGCCAGCAGCCGCGGUAAUACGGAGGGUGCAAGCGCUAAUCGGAAUUACUGGGCGUAAAGCGCACGCAGGCGGUUUGUUAAGUCAGAUGUGAAAUCCCCGGGCUCAACCUGGGAACUGCAUCUGAUACUGGCAAGCUUGAGUCUCGUAGAGGGGGGUAGAAUUCCAGGUGUAGCGGUGAAAUGCGUAGAGAUCUGGAGGAAUACCGGUGGCGAAGGCGGCCCCCUGGACGAAGACUGACGCUCAGGUGCGAAAGCGUGGGGAGCAAACAGG
rnacentral:rRNA from 1 species